rnacentral:rRNA from 1 species
GACGAACGCUGGCGGCGUGCCUAACACAUGCAAGUCAACGAGAAAAGGGUAGCAAUAUCCUGAGUAAAGUGGCGCACGGGUGAGUAACACGUAGGUAAUCUGCCAUUAGGACGGGGACAACCACGCGAAAGCGUGGCUAAUACCCGAUGAAUCAGCGGCGCCGCAUGGCGUUGUUGUUAAAUACCGCAAGGUGCCUGGUGAUGAACCUGCGUCCCAUUAGGUAGUUGGUGAGGUAACGGCUCACCAAGCCGACGAUGGGUAGCUGGUCUGAGAGGAUGAUCAGCCACACUGGAACUGAGACACGGUCCAGACUCCUACGGGAGGCAGCAGUGAGGAAUAUUGCGCAAUGGCCGAAAGGCUGACGCAGCGACGCCGCGUGAAGGAUGAAGUCCGUUAGGAUGUAAACUUCUUUUGC